rnacentral:rRNA from 1 species
AUUGAACGCUGGCGGCAUGCCUUACACAUGCAAGUCGAACGGUAACGGGCCUUCGGGUGCCGACGAGUGGCGAACGGGUGAGUAAUGUAUCGGAACGUACCUUUCAGUGGGGGAUAACGUAGCGAAAGUUACGCUAAUACCGCAUAUUCUGUGAGCAGGAAAGCAGGGGAUCGCAAGACCUUGCGCUGAUUGGGCGGCCGAUAUCAGAUUAGCUAGUUGGUGAGGUAAAGGCUCACCAAGGCGACGAUCUGUAGCGGGUCUGAGAGGAUGAUCCGCCACACUGGAACUGAGACACGGUCCAGACUCCUACGGGAGGCAGCAGUGGGGAAUUUUGGACAAUGGGGGCAACCCUGAUCCAGCCAUGCCGCGUGAGUGAAGAAGGCC